AUGUCACCCCCGUGUCCCCAAUGUCACCCCCCGAGGGACCCCCGCUGUCCCUCCAGCCCCCAACAACCCCCCUGCGUCCCCAGCCCUGUGCCUCCCAUCCCCAAAUCCCUCGGGGUCUCCUUGCCCACAUCAUCCCCUGGGUGUCCCCUUAUUGUCCCCUCACUGUCCCCAUAUUGUCCCCUUUUUAUCCCCUCACUGUCCCCUUAUUGUCCCCUCACUGUCCCCUUUUUAUCCCCUGGCUGUCCCCUCACUGUCCCCACAUCAUCGCCUCAAUGUCCCCUCGCUGUCCCCAUCUUAUCCCCUGGAUGUCCCCAUAUUGUCCCCUCACUGUCCCCAUAUUGUCCCCAUCUUAUCCCCUGGAUGUCCCCAUAUUGUCCCCUCACUGUCACCAUAUUGUCCCCGUCUUAUCCCCUGGGUGUCCCCUUAUUGUCCCCUCGCUGUCCCCAUAUUGUCCCCAUCUUAUCCCCUGGGUGUCCCCUUAUUGUCCCCUCACUGUCCCCUUUUUAUCCCCUGGCUGUCCCCUCACUGUCCCCACAUCAUCGCCUCAAUGUCCCCUCGCUGUCCCCAUCUUAUCCCCUGGAUGUCCCCAUAUUGUCCCCUCACUGUCCCCAUAUUGUCCCCAUCUUAUCCCCUGGAUGUCCCCAUAUUGUCCCCUCACUGUCACCAUAUUGUCCCCGUCUUAUCCCCUGGGUGUCCCCUUAUUGUCCCCUCGCUGUCCCCAUAUUGUCCCCAUCUUAUCCCCUGGGUGUCCCCUUAUUGUCCCCUCACUGUCCCCUUUUUAUCCCCUGGCUGUCCCCUCACUGUCCUGAUAUCAUCACCUCAAUGUCCCCAUCUUAUCCCCUGGGUGUCCCCUCACUGUCCCCAUUUUAUCCCCUGGCUGUCCCCACAUUGUCCCCUCUCUGUCCCUGGAUUAUCCCCUCGCUGUCCCCAUUUUACUCCCUGAACGUCCCCCCAUUAUCCCCUGGCUGUCCCCUCACUGUCCCCACAUUGUCCCUGGGAAGUCCCCUCAAUUUCCCCUCAGCUGUCCCCGUAUAA
rnacentral:lncRNA from 1 species